rnacentral:lncRNA from 1 species
GCCUUUUAAAUUUAUCAAACCAAAUUGAAUGAACAAUCCAUAUAAGAUAUAUUUCCACAAAUCAAUCCGGCCUUAGAACUCUCAACAAGAGAACCACCAGCUCAUCAUUAAGGAAGACGAAAAUCCAACAAGAGAAUCCAUAAUUAAAAAUUAGUAAGUGUUUUGUGGCAGAUGGUUUUACGUGGAUGAAAGAGCAAAACAAAAAAACACUUACAGAACAAAAUAAACACAUAAACAAA